rnacentral:rRNA from 1 species
AUAAAAGAAAGUAAAUAAGGGCGCAUGGCGGAUGCCUUGGCUCUCGGAGGCGAUGAAGGACGUGAUAAGCUGCGAUAAGCUUCGGGUAGGUGCAAAUGACCUUUGAUCCGAAGAUUUCCGAAUGGGACAACCCGGCAUUCUGAAGGAAUGUCAUCCAACCUGGUUGGAGGCUAACGCAGGGAACUGAAACAUCUUAGUACCUGCAGGAAAAGAAAAUAAAUAAUGAUUCCCCUAGUAGUGGCGAGCGAACGGGGAUUAGCCCAAACCACCCAUGUUACGGCAUGUGUGGGGUUGUAGGACCACGCUCUCGCAAGACAGUUAUUGAGAAGAAACGACUGGAAAGUCGUGCCAUAGACGGUGAUAGCCCGGUAUUCUAAGGUAACCGAAGCGUAGUGGUAUCCUGAGUAGCGCGGAGCACGAGGAAUUCUGCGUGAAUCAGCCGGGACCAUCCGGUAAGGCUAAAUACUCCCGAGAGACCGAUAGCGAACCAGUACUGUGAAGGAAAGGUGAAAAGCACUUCGAAUAGAAGAGUGAAAUAGUCCCUGAAACCAUGCGCCUACAAGCGGUCGGAGCAGCUUAAGCUGUGACGGCGUGCCUUUUGCAUAAUGAACCUACGAGUUACUUUUUCCGGCAAGGUUAAGCAUCUUGAGAUGUGGAUCCGAAGCGAAAGCGAGUCUGAACAGGGCGGAUAGUCGGAAGGAGUAGACGCGAAACCAAGUGAUCUACCCUUGGGCAGGUUGAAGGUUAGGUAACACUAACUGGAGGACCGAACCGAUAAGCGUUGAAAAGCUUCCGGAUGACCUGAGGGUGGGGGUGAAAGGCUAAUCAAACUUGGAGAUAGCUCGUACUCCCCGAAAUGCAUUUAGGUGCAGCCUUGAGAGUUACUAAUGUGAGGUAGAGCGACUGAUAAGAUGCGAGGGCUUCACCGCCUAUCAAGUCUUGAUAAACUCCGAAUGCGCAUUAGUUCUAUCUCAGGAGUGAGGGCAUGGGUGCUAAGGUCCAUGUCCUAAAGGAGAAGAAUCCAGACCAUCAGCUAAGGUCCCCAAAUAAACACUAAGUUGAACUAACGAAGUCAGAUUGCUAAGACAGCUAGGAUGUUGGCUUGGAAGCAGCCAUUCAUUUAAAGAGUGCGUAACAGCUCACUAGUCGAGGAGUUUGGCGUGGAUAAUAAUCGGGCAUUAAGUGUUUUACCGAAGCUAUGGGAUACGUAAGUAUCGGUAGGGGAGCAUUCCACUCUGCGUUGAAGGCGAAGCGUGAGCUUUACUGGAGCGUGUGGAAAAGCAAAUGUAGGUAUAAGUAACGAUAAAGGGGGUGAGAAACCCCCUCGCCGCAAGACUAAGGUUUCCUGAUCAACGCUAAUCGGAUCAGGGUUAGUCGGGUCCUAAGGCUCAGCCGAACGGUGAGGCCGAUGGCAGAACAGGUUAAUAUUCCUGUACUACCU